GCUCUGUGGGAGUGCGGGUAGGAGAGGGCAGAGUUGGAAAGGUCCUGAGAGACAUUCAUCAGCCGUACCAUGAUUUCCGACGGCAGGGUGCUCGUAAUCUCAAUCCUGUCCCCUAUCAUGCGGAGUGUAUGGGCCAUAAAUUGCAUCUGGACCAGAAUGAGAAGCUGGGGAUGUUUGGAGCCACACACGUUGUUGCUGUUGAUGGCUUCAGCAGCAACAUAGUUGCCAGUGCAACCAUGCCUGUGAAGAAUAACCUCGUGAUUUAUGAGGAAGUGUACAGACCUGCUGUGGUCACCCAUGGGAUGUGGGACCAGCUUAGAGUUGACCAUGGCAGGGAAUUCUACAUGUGCCUGUACGUGCAAGAGAAGCUUGCCGGACACAGACACAACCUUGAAAGACCACCAUACUUACAAACAACAUCAACAAGGAACCUUCGAGUGGAAAGGAUUUGGCCAGAGGUGAACAACCGUGUGAACUACCCUUUAAAGCAGGCCUUGGUACAGCUGUUGGACCAAGAAGUUAUCAACAUGGAGGACAACCUCACAAAAUUCUGUGUCUCCAACCUGACUUGUCAGUUGGGUGAGAUUGGACUUGACAGAGUGGUACAAUCCUGGAAUGCACACAGGAUCCCAGGGCGUGGGAUACCUAAUGAACUUGCAGCUGGAGGCUGUACAGCUAAAGUUCCUGAAGAGUGGCUGCCCAGUGCCUCGGUUGUAGCCAACCUGUAUGAGCAAGAGCUGGGAUCCAGGCUGACUUGGGUAUCAGUUUUUGGAGCAGAUCCCUUCACAUCUGAGGAGGACAGAUGUCAUGCAGAGCAGGACUUCACAUCAAACUACCCAGACAUCUCCAUUCUCCUGAAUCAUGCAGUGAACAAUAACACUAAUCCCUUCCAAGAUGCCUUACUGUACCUCAUUGAUGUAACCCGGAGAUAUGUCUAAAAACACUUCAGAGCUGGCAAAUUGAGUGCUCCUUUGGUGUUUGUGUUGUAUGGAUGCAAAAACCUGUGUUUAUAC